rnacentral:rRNA from 1 species
GACGAACGCUGGCGGCGUGCUUAACACAUGCAAGUCGAACGGAAAGGCCUCUUUCGGGGGGUACUCGAGUGGCGAACGGGUGAGUAACACGUGAGUAACCUGCCCUUGACUUUGGGAUAACUUCAGGAAACUGGGGCUAAUACCGGAUAGGAGCUCCUGCUGCAUGGUGGGGGUUGGAAAGUUUCGGCGGUUGGGGAUGGACUCGCGGCUUAUCAGCUUGUUGGUGGGGUAGUGGCUUACCAAGGCUUUGACGGGUAGCCGGCCUGAGAGGGUGACCGGCCACAUUGGGACUGAGAUACGGCCCAGACUCCUACGGGAGGCAGCAGUGGGGAAUAUUGCACAAUGGGUGGAAGCCUGAUGCAGCAACGCCGUGGGCGGGAUGACGGCCUUCGGGUUGUAAACCGCUUUCGCUCAUGACGAAGCUUUGUGUGACGGUAGUGGGUGAAGAAGCACCGGCUAACUACGUG